CCAGACUCCUACGGGAGGCAGCAGUGGGGAAUAUUGCACAAUGGGGGGAACCCUGAUGCAGCAACGCCGCGUGAAGGAAGAAGUAAUUCGUUAUGUAAACUUCUAUCGACAGGGAAGAAAGAAAUGACGGUACCUGAAUAAGAAGCCCCGGCUAAUUACGUGCCAGCAGCCGCGGUAAUACGUAAGGGGCAAGCGUUAUCCGGAUUUACUGGGUGUAAAGGGUGCGCAGGUGGCAGGGCAAGUCAGAUGUGAAAGCCCGGGGCUCAACCCCGGUAUUGCAUUUGAAACUGUCCGGCUAGAGUGCAGGAGAGGUAAGCGGAAUUCCUAGUGUAGCGGUGAAAUGCGUAGAUAUUAGGAGGAACACCAGUGGCGAAGGCGGCUUACUGGACUGUAACUGACGUUGAGGCUCGAAAGCGUGGGGAGCAAACAGGAUUAGAUACCCGGGUAUG
rnacentral:rRNA from 1 species